UGGGGAAUCUUGCGCAAUGGGCGAAAGCCUGACGCAGCGACGCCGCGUGAGCGAUGAAGGCCUUCGGGUUGUAAAGCUCUGUGGGGAGAGAAGAAUAAGGGCUGGCUAAUACCCAGCUUGAUGACGGUAUCUCCUUAGCAAGCACCGGCUAACUCUGUGCCAGCAGCCGCGGUAAGACAGAGGGUGCAAACGUUGUUCGGAAUUACUGGGCGUAAAGCGCGUGUAGGCGGCUUCGCAAGUCGGAUGUGAAAGCCCACGGCUCAACCGUGGAAGUGCACCCGAAACUGCGUGGCUUGAGUUCUGGAGAGGAAGGCGGAAUGCUUGGUGUAGAGGUGAAAUUCGUAGAUAUCAAGCGGAACACCGGUGGCGAAGGCGGCCUUCUGGACAGUGACUGACGCUGAGACGCGAAAGCGUGGGGAGCAAACAG
rnacentral:rRNA from 1 species